rnacentral:rRNA from 1 species
AUUGAACGCUGGCGGCAGGCUUAACACAUGCAAGUCGAGCGGGGUGAUGGUGCUUGCACUAUCACUUAGCGGCGGACGGGUGAGUAAUGCUUAGGAAUCUGCCUAUUAGUGGGGGACAACAUCUCGAAAGGGAUGCUAAUACCGCAUACGUCCUACGGGAGAAAGCAGGGGAUCACUUGUGACCUUGAGCUAAUAGAUGAGCCUAAGUCGGAUUAGCUAGUUGGUGGGGUAAAGGCCUACCAAGGCGACGAUCUGUAGCGGGUCUGAGAGGAUGAUCCGCCACACUGGGACUGAGACACGGCCCAGACUCCUACGGGAGGCAGCAGUGGGGAAUAUUGGACAAUGGGGGGAACCCUGAUCCAGCCAUGCCGCGUGUGUGAAGAAGGCCUUAUGGUUGUAAAGCACUUUAAGUCGGGAGGAAGGACUGUAGGCUAAUACCUUGCAGUUUUGACGUUACCGACAGAAUAAGCACCGGCUAACUUCGUGCCAGCCGCCGCAGUAA